UCCUGUUGUAAAUCUCCGGCACAGCUGGGUCAGAGAGAGUCAGGUUCACCCCGUGCGUCCUCUCCAUGAUGAACUGCCCCACUAAAUGUAAGACUUGUGUGAGUGUGGAUGGCCACUGACUCAGGGACGUGCAAAUGUUGUUUGGAAAUAAAGACUGGCAAGAAACAUUACCUGAAUGAUACUAGCUUAAUAACUAUUUGGCAAGUUACAAUUGAAUUCAGUCCUCUAACAGAGACUGAUUUAAUCAAGAAGAAACACUUUCAGAAAACUCAGUAAGGGCAAUAGCUGUAACUGAAUCCUAGGGAGGCAGUGAUCUAGGAAGAAAUCCUUCUGGAUAGGGGUUGUUUUGCAGAAGAUGUAAACUGGCAGGAGGCUCAUGAGUCUCUGUCAUUGAAAGGUGGCAUGCGUUUUAGUGUUUCUUUUUUUCCCGAUCUGUUAGGUUAUCACUAGUUUAAAUGAAGAGGUUCUCUUUCAUUAUUUCCUGCUCUUCCGAUUUGCUCUUAUUUAUGCAACAAAGAGGAUGAUUCAACAGCAACUCAGUCCCAAGUUACUGAUGCCUUAAGCAUACAUUCCACCCCAUGACCUCACCUCCCAAAAAAGGUUCCUGAGUGAUUAGUGAGCAGCUUCACAAGUGUCCCAAUGUCUCUUCCUUGUCCUUCUAGCUCCCCAGGAGAAUCUGGUCGUGGAAGUCUUCCCGGACCUGACUGACGUAAAGGCUCUGAGUAAUGUGAACGAAUUCAGGGAAGCCAAUGAACACGUAAAUGUUCAGGGAUCAACACUCUGCUGAGGUUUCACUGAGGACCUGCCAGUCAACCCAGCUUGUGACAAGACAGAAGAGACUCCAUGUGCCUCCAAGG